AGCGAACGCUGGCGGCAGGCCUAACACAUGCAGGUCGAACGAAGCCUUCGGGCUUAGUGGCGGACGGGUGAGUAACACGUGGGAACGUACCUUUUGGUUCGGAAUAACGCAGAGAAAUUUGCGCUAAUACCGAAUGAGCCCUUCGGGGGAAAGAUUUAUCGCCGAAAGAUCGGCCCGCGUUGGAUUAGGUAGUUGGUGUGGUAAAGGCGCACCAAGCCUACGAUCCAUAGCUGGUCUGAGAGGAUGAUCAGCCACACUGGGACUGAGACACGGCCCAGACUGCGACGGGAGGCAGCCGUGGGGAAUCUUGCGCAAUGGGCGAAAGCCUGACGCAGCCAUGCCGAGUGAAUGAUGAAGGUCUUAGGAUUGUAAAAUUCUUUUACCAGGGACGAUAAUGACGGUACCUGGGGAAAAAGCCCCGGCUAACUUCGUGCCAGCAGCCGCCGUAAAAC
rnacentral:rRNA from 1 species